rnacentral:lncRNA from 1 species
CUUCUUAUAUCAUGAGCUUUGCAGGGCCACCAGGCCAGAUGCGCAUGAGAUAGCUGACCCAUUGGUGUUGCUAUAGCUUUGGAUAUGGAAGUAUUUAUACGUCAGAUGGUCAGAUAGGGUGCUCCUUAGGGUAGUAUCCCACUAACCAGUGCCAGAAGAUGAUGCAGUAGGACAUGAUCUGUUGGAUGAGGAUGAUGCUAGUAUUGGGGACCCAUUUGGUGGGAUAUAGCAUGACUAGACUGAUCCACUAGGAUGCAGAUAUGUAACCAAUAGUACUGAUGUUUUAU